GCCUGUUUAACAAAAACAUCGCCUUUUGUAAGUAUAAAAGGUCUGGCCUGCCCCCUGUUAGUAAAGGGCCGCAGUAUAUUGACUGUGCAAAGGUAGCAUAAUCAUUAGUCUUUUAAUUGAAGGCUGGCAUGAAUGGUUGGAUGAGGUAAAAGCUGUCUCUUUUAAGUAAUUUAAAAUUUAGCUUUUUAGUCAAAAGGCUAAAAUAAUGUUAGAGGACGAGAAGACCCUAUAGAUCUUUAUGGGGAUAUUUAAGGGUUAUAGAUGAGUUAGGGCUUUAUAAAAUUCUUAUUUGGUUGGGGUGACAAGGAAAUAAAUUAACUUUCUUUUAGUAAACAUUUAUUAAUGAAUAGGGGAUCCACAAUUUGUGAUUACAAGAGUAAGUUACCUUAGGGAUAACAGCAUAAUCCUUUUAGAGAGUUCUUAUCGAUAAAAGGGGUUGUGACCUCGAUGUUGGACUAAGAUUUAGCUUAGGUGUAGCAGCUUGGGAUAAUGGUCUGUUCGACCACUAAAAUCUUACAUGAUCUGAGUUCAAACCGGAGCUCC
rnacentral:rRNA from 1 species